rnacentral:lncRNA from 10 species
CCCAGUUCUGCAUGAUACCACACCAGUGAUUCUCCAAAGUCAAGAAACCUGUAUAUGUUGUCCUUGUGUUUGGUGAAUCUGUGGUCUAUAGACUACAUAAUGGGCUAUUUCUGGGGUACUGACCAUUUUGCUCCAUUAAGGAAAACCAUGCAUGAGCCAUAUAACUAUGGGAAACAAUGUUUUCCUUUUUGACACCUGGCCUACUCUCUUCUUAGGUGAGAGCAAAGGAAGAGCACCACUUGGCCUGCUGCACCCAGGGCAAUUUAUACCAUCCAGAUAUCCAGCACUGAAUAUGUAGCAACUCCAAUCCACCAUAGAACAUUAAUCUAUCUCUGAUAAGCAUGCUAAUAUCUAUGAUUCUGCCUUUGUGGGGAGAUGACUCCAUAGAUUAACCCCCUGGCUUGGGGCAAUAUGGAGAUGUUAUAUUGUCUUCGACAGGGAAGAUGACAUAAAAAUUAUGUUCAAUAGGAUUAUGUGGAGACUUAACAUAAGUGACAAACCUAAGACAAGAAGUUAGAAAUCCUUGUUUCUUUUAGGUGAAUAAUUUUGGAGCUUGAGAAAAAGACACCAUUGUGGCGAACUUGCUUUGCCAAACCCUGUGUAUGCAUUUUUGGGUAAACAACACAUUUUCAUCCUUUAAGCAUUGUUUCCAUUAUUUAUAAUUCCUAAUAGUAUGAGACAUUUAGGACUCAUUCCUUGGUUCUUCUUCUCUCAUUGUAUCUUUCAUUGUAUCUUUCAGUGCUGCAAGAGAUGCAAUCAUCCCAUUAAUGAAAGCAGAGUGACUGCCUUCG